rnacentral:rRNA from 1 species
GCUAAUUAUGGUCAGGUCUACAUACACCAAACAACUAGCUGUCCUUUGACUUUGACUUUUGCUACAAGACCCCGCCAAAUGGCUGCAGACUUGGUCAGUCGGCCAGUAGACAUCGGUUGGUAAGAGGAAUAGAAUGGGACGGCCGGGCGAGAAGUAAGAAAAACGACAUAUUUUCGUCCGUCUAUUCAGAGGAAAAGAAGAACAGGGGGAGAGCAUGUGGGUGAACAACCUACGUACAAUCAAAAGACUCUUCACGUGGCUAGUCAGCUAAUGAUGUGUAGAAGUUCAAUAGUCUCUUCGACCGACCCGACUAGAUCUAAGAUCUAAUGUGCACCUGCUUCCUUCGUUCUAGUACCGAAACGGCCGGAGCUAGAGGGUGGACCGAGUGAACCCUGUCUUCGAUACCGACGUCCUGUGUCCCUUUUCGAAGAGAACGCUGCCAACGGCACUCGGGCCGUCCCCGCUCUCCAUGUCCACGGUAGGUACGCUGAAGCUGGAGGUGUUCGUAACGCGGAACCUGUUCUCGUACCGAAACGGUCGGAGCUAGACGGUGGGGCGGGUGAACCCUGUGUCCGACAGCGACCUCCGCUGGCUCAUGACCCUCAAGCACACGUUGCCGACGGCACUCUCUCCGCGCCCGCUCUCCAUGUCCACGGCCCGGACGUCCAAGCUGGAGGUGUUCGUCACGCGGAACCUUCUUCCUUGGUUCUAGUACCGAAAGGGUGCGAGGUAGAGCGUGGGGCUAGUAACCCCCGUGUUCGACAGCGACCUCCGCUGACUGAUGACCUUCAAGCACACGUUACCGACGCCAUUCUCGCCCAACCCGCUCUCCAUGUCCACGGCCCGGACGUUUAAACUGGAGGUGUUCGUCACGCGGACCCCGGUUCCCUGGUUCUAGUACCGGAGGAGUCCGAACUAGAGGGUGAGCCGGGUGAACCUUGUGUACGACUGCGACACGCGGGGACCGGAGAGGUUGAAGCACACUCGGGCCGUGCCUCCUUUCCAUGUCCACGGUACGUACGCUGAAACUGGAGGUGUUCGUCACGCGGAACCUGGUUCCUUGGUUCGAACACGUGGGCGACGAAUUCUUGCAGCUCGACCACGAGGCCAAGGUCCCGGGGUUCCUGCCGCCGUCCGACCACACGCUGCGGACACCGUUGCGGCACGACCCUAAGGUGAUGGUGUCGUCGUUCGACACGGAGGUGGGCACGACGCGUUUGGGUGACCUACAGUUGUUCUUGCUCCUACUACCAGCGCCCUCUCUAGUCGGCAGGUCCUCAUUUAAGGUCGCGUGUAACAGACAGUCGCCCGUAUAGUCACUGCGCUAUCUAUGACCUCUUCGCCAUCGACUAGAGAAGUUGAGUUAAUUAGAUCUGCUACCGCCAAGGCAUCUCCUUGGGCUGAAGCUGAAACUGAAAAUUCAUAUAGACCACAAACCGAAAGGAGACCCUAACAUGCA